GGAAGCUCGGGUGGCCGGCGCGGCGCGCUCCCACGGCCCCUCGGGCGGCUGGCCCGGGACCCUGCGCCCGGCGCGCUGCGCUGCCGGCUGCCCCUCAGCGUUCCGUACUCCGGACCGGACAGGCCCCCGGAGGCCUGCUCCGCUUGGCCCCGCUCCCGACGCCCUCUUCUGGGCAGAGGGUCGCCCGCCUACAGCAGAGUCUGUCUGUCCUGAGAGCAGGGAGCUUGUGUUUUGCGCUUGCUGAUAAAGUCUAACCACCUGCAGCUGGAUUCGUCUCCUGGAGGAUGCUCAAUAGAUACUAGUUGCUUCUACAGAGACAGAAAUCCGAUGAAAAUCAGAUUACAAGCCUUUCUUCAUCAUCCCAUUUCCUCCGGUCUGUCAACUUGGGUGGCGUCGCAAAGAGCUUCUGCAGCCGCUGUGCCUUCAUGGACCCAAAGACCCUGGGAUUCGAUGGUAGCACCACUCAUGGGCUCUGUUAGAGUUAUUUUUGACAAUUUUAUUGAGAUAUAAUCCAUGGACCAUACAAUUCACCCAUUAAAGUAUACGAAACAGUG